UUGGUGAUUGUAAAUACUGCUGCACUAAACACGUGGGUGCAGGUAUCUCUUCAAAUUGGUGUUUUGUUUUCUUUGGAUAAAUACCUAGUAGUGCAAUUGCUGG